ensembl:snoRNA
AAGGUUUAAUGGCUUUCAGGGGACCUGAAGAAUGGUUCCUCUGUUUACAACACACCCGACAGGAAUCUAGGGUCAUUGAAACAAAGGUGGCCCAAAACCUGUGGCCUCCUGUAAACAGAUGCCCUACAUGU